rnacentral:misc_RNA from 1 species
AAAUUGCUUUCAUGUUCUUGAGCCCUGGUACAUUACCUUUUGAGAAGCUAUGGGAAAAAUUUUUCCAGGGACAUGAAGGCAGAUUCUCUGUUUAUGUGCAUGCCUCCAAGGAAAAACCAGUUCAUGUGAGCAGUUACUUUUUUAAUCGGGACAUACACAGUGACCAGGUGGUGUGGGGAAAAAUUUCAAUGGUUGAUGCAGAGAGACGACUUCUGGCAAAUGCACUUGAAGAUCCUGACAACCAGCAUUUUGUUUUACUUUCUGAUAGUUGCGUGCCAUUGCAUAACUUUGAUUAUGUCUACAACUAUCUGAUGUACACAAAUAUCAGCUUUGUUGAUUGCUUUUAUGAUCCUGGACCACAUGGGAAUGGUCGGUAUUCAGAGCAUAUGUUGCCUGAAAUUGAGAAGAAAGACUUCAGAAAGGGUGCACAGUGGUUCUCAAUGAAGCGACAACAUGCUGUGAUUGUUAUGGCUGAUAGUCUUUACUAUUCUAAAUUCCGGGAGUACUGCAAGCCUGGUCUGGAAGGCAAAAAUUGCAUAGCUGAUGAACAUUAUUUGCCGACAUUUUUCCAUAUGGUUGACCCUAGUGGAAUUGCAAAUUGGUCUGUUACACAUGUUGAUUGGUCUGAGAGAAAGUGGCAUCCAAA